ensembl:lncRNA
CCCUGGUACCUUUUUUAUUGACAGAAUUGGCUCGGUAACCUUCAAAGUACAGAGGCCCGAGAUAUUGACGCUUAUCUACAUUAACACCUGUACAUUUUGAUUUAUCGCAAUAUUCUGAUGGACCCCCAGGCAAAGAACAUUGACGGAGACAUGAUGUUUGGACUUUUGCAAAUAAUACUCUGUAUACAGUAAAAAGGGAAGAAGCACAUUUGAUCACAUUCCAGUCCACACGGUGGCGAUAAACUGUUUUUUUGUAGCGUACGGUUUUAGUAACUUCAUUAUUGCGGCGAUGAAGCAAUUGUGACAAUAUGAUUGGUCCACUGGGCAUACGUUAGAUAUUUGAGACGAAACGGCGGUCCAGCGCGUCAAUUUGGCUAGCGUGCUAGUCACGUCUUCGAUGUUUACAUUUGAAUCGAAGGUCUGCUUUUAGCCUGCUUCAUCAUGGUAACGUUAACGGAGAAGCGAGCGAGGACCCCAAACAGUGCUGCUAAACAUUCAUCUGUUUUUGCCUCAAAAAUAAAGGCAAAAAUACUCAACACAUCCUCAUUUUUUAAGGUUUCACUUAAAGGCAACAAUAAGGCCUUGGCUAAAGCCCUUGCUGUUCAGAGUGACAAGACCAGACAGCUGAUACAAGAGACUGUGUUACUGCGGCAACGUAUACUAGCUCUGAACUUUGACCUUGCUAUCCAGAGGCAUAAAAAAAAGAAAAUGUUUGCCAUCAUUCAACAUUUCUACAACACCUGUUACAAGAGCCUUCCCAUGGCAACCAACCUGAUGGACGACGAAAAUGAGAGUUUUGAUGAAGAUGAAGAUGCAGAUGCAGACCAUGCUGAAGAUGGGAUGGAGAGGGAAAUGUUUGGAAGUUUGCUCCAAGCGCAUGCCAAACCACCUAGGGACUCCAAGGCUGCCUCCUGGAGGACUUCACAGUCUAACAUCAACACUGAACAGGACACAAUAUCUCAUCAUGAUGAGCUCCGCAAAUCUAUCAAUUCUAUCGCAUCGUCUGACUGCUUAUUGCCCAAACGUCUUUCAAAAAAGCAAAAGGAAAUUGUGGAAGAGGAGGCAAUGCAUCAGCAAACUUUGGUUUGUAACACAGAAAUGGACAUGACAGUUGUUGAUAGUGUUGCCCCAAUAGUAACCGUAGACACCAAGACCAGCAAAAAUAGGAGAGGUCAUCAGAACACUACAGGGACAAAUUCAGAGGAUUCAUAUGACACAGGACAGGGCGAAGCCCACAACAGAACUGAGGUGAUUGAGAAAGCAUCAGUGGCUGUUGUACUCACUGAAAGGCAGGGACUGUCAUCUGAGGUGGAGCUGAAUGUUCACAGCGCAAAUGCUGAUGUUGACUCUGCGUUGAACACUGGGAAUGGGGACACUGACUUUGUCGCUCCCCGCAGGAAAACUCACUUCACUUCUCGAAAAAUGAACAGGAUGACUCUUAGUUCACAUAAAAGUACUGGGGACCUCUCAAGAAAAACCUAUAUUAUCUCUUCAAACCCCCAUAUGGAUGGGUUCAGUAAACCUCAUGAGUUUGGAGGGAUCGGGGAGGACGCCUCGUCGGAAGAGGAUUCAUCAGAAACACGGCACAACAUGAAAACGGAUGUAUUGCCACAGUGUCAGAAGAGCAAUUCACUGAAUCGAAAGACUUAUGUAAUCUCAGACAGAGCAGCAGUGAAAAGGAGCCAAAGGACUGAUCCCUUAGUGAUUACAGAUCAGAAAGCAGACUCUAUUACAGUCAUGGACACUGGUUCUGAGGCACAGGAAGAUCAGAUGUUUAUCGAGCCUGCCCUCGUGAAAAACUCUGACAAGAAGCGCAGGACUACACGUUCACUCUCUGCAACAAAUCAAAGCACUAAAGUGAAGAGAAGGGAAAAGAACCCACUUGGGUCACGGGGCAGAGGCAGUACUGAGAGGAGAAACUCCUAUUUUGAUGACUGGAGUGACUUCUUUGCAGAUGACGACCAACAAGAGCAAAGCAUCAGAGUUAUAAGCACACUCCAAGAACCAAAUUCAUCCCAUGCAGACAUUGCAACAGAAACCUUGAAAAGCUGUAAUGAGGAGGCCUUAGUCCCUCUUGAGGUUUCUUUGGAGCCCCCUGCAGUGGUAAAACCCUGGAAAAUGAGCGACUUCCUUGCCGACGAGAAGCAGGCGACAUCUAGGAAAUCCAAGAAAGGUAAGACCGGCAAAUCAAAAGAGAAGAAAGCCCUGCAAAAGAAAAAGCCAAAUGUAUCUUCAAAGGAGAAGAGGCCAGGAAACGUCCCAAGAAGUAAAAAGUUGCCUGGUGAUGAAGAUCAGGUGUUGGAUGAACACAACCGUAGUAGCUGUGUGGAUCAAAUCCAAACUGUAUACACACAGCAUUUUGAAGAUGAUGGUACUGAUAACAGCAAGGCUUUGGAAGUUGAAGAUCAACCACCAGAACUUCCUCCUUCCCCUGAAAGCAGUUACCCAGAAGUAACUGGUGAUGCCAUACAUAUUACCAGUGGAUCUGCCAUCUCAAAAGGUCAACCAAAUCAUGACGACAACAUCAAAAGUAGGGACACUUUUGUCAUUUCUACAUGCCCUGGUCAAGGAGACAAGGAGACUUCUUUGAAGUCAACAAACUCUAAAUCUGGUUUGUUUACUAAACAACAAACCUUUGUUUACCCUGUGAACUCUAAUCAAUCUGAGGCCUUACCCUCCCGACAGACGGAAUUACUGGCAGAUGAAAGACCUCCAUGGGAAUCCCUAGAUUUUGAUCACGCAAGCCCUUUCCCCAUUGAUACUUCUGUGUCAAGUCCCCCUUCAAGGCGACCCUCUUGCACCAUGGAAAUAUAUCAAGAGGCAUUACCAUCAAUGUCGAGCCAGUCCCUAGAGGGCAGACCCAUGAAGAGCUUAACAAAUACCAACUGGACAACUGAUGCAGAAUCUGGUCGAUCACGUCGAAGGGGAGCCAAGGUCUCCUACAAAGAACCACCUAUUAACGGGAAAAUGAGGCGUGGGGACAAGUUUAGUGACACCCAGUUUCUAAGAUCACCUAUAUUUAAAAGCAAAAGGAUCAAGAAGAAACACACAGCCUGACGGAAUCCCUUAAAGGAAUGCUGUCAAAAUGUAUAUACUGCAUGUUACUCGGUGUAAGUGCUAUUCUGUCUGUGUAUGUUUUUCUUGUUCUUGCUUUUUAGGUCCUGUGUUUUGUUGCUAUUUUAUUCUGUAUUUUUUUUUUGUAACAAUAAAGGAAUUACCUGAAUCCUCUCUUACCUUGAA